UUCCCUCACCCGUGCAAACCUGAGCACCAGUCACUCUUCCCAGACCCUUGGUGUGGCUACCACAGGUUGUACAGAAACCCAUGAGACAGCCCUACUGCAGGCAGCUACAUUGAUUCAUUUUAUAUCCUCUAGACAAUCGCAGCAGGGGGAAGCACCAUCAUCUAUCCUGCCACUGAGAUUUCAAACUAUGCAAGAACAAUCAUCCAAAAACAAGCCAAGGGACAGUCACUGACUCAAACUGGUCCAUCACAGCAGCUGUGUCAUUCCACUCCCUCUUCUACCUCAGUCCAACCCCCUGAGUGGCAGCUACAUUGAAGCUCCACUGUGAUAUUCUCCUGCUUAAAAACAAACCAACCCACCAAGAAGACACAUCUGAAAGGAAACAGCCAAGCAAAAUGAUCAAAAGGACACUGGAGUCCCUGAUGGCAGCUCUGGAAGGGGUGCACAGCUUCUGCUGCACUUUUUUAUAUCUCAACAGCCAACCUGUGCUAGGCAUUUUACAACCAGUUUUGAAGAGCUUAUUCCCUGCCCAAAGAGAAUGUUUACAGCAGGGUUUGCUUGAUCUUCCAGCAGCAUACGAGGGCAAUCAGGCUGAUACCUCUGUCUCUUGUGGAGCCUUUCGCUCGUCCCCUUUCUUUGGUCAGAGGGAGCUCAACACAGAUGAACGCACGGAACAGAAGUAACACAUAAAGUUUGAUAUAUCGUUGAGUCAAGAUUUGCUCUGUAUUUGCUCCAUCCUCCCCUAUAACCUAUGCUAUACAUGCAGAAUUAGAUGCUGGCUAAGGUAGGGAAAGGAGAUAAGAGGAGAAAUGAAGUUCUGAGGUUACCUACUACCUCCUCACAAUGUCUCGUAAGAAGCAUACAGCACAGU